CAUCUUGAAACACCAUUUCUCAUGUGAUUACAGAAGUUAAGCAAUGUUGAGCCUGAUCAGUACCUAGAUGGGUGACCUUUUGGGAAUAUCAAGUGCUGG